rnacentral:tRNA from 1 species
CUACGUGUAGGAAAGCUUGGUAAUCCGCUUGCCUUGGGAGCAAGAGACCGUUGGUUCAAAUCCAACCAUGUAGA